AAGUAAAACCCAGGAGCACCGACAAGCUCAAGGCACCCUUGUCAGAAUGUCUCCAUGAAAUGCUGCUGCUCCUUCAUACCAACUGUGAGUUUGGGACACAUAAAAUGAAGAUUCUGAGAUGCAGAGAGGCUAUCGUUUUCCAGAGUCAUACAGCAUCACGGAACACAGAGUGGACUGGAAUCCAGGCAGAAUGUCUUCAGAGCUUUAUGGAUGCUGACCCCUCC